rnacentral:rRNA from 1 species
UACGUAGGCAGCAAGCGUUGUUCGGAAUUACUGGGCGUAAAGAGUGUGUAGGCGGUGCUCUAAGUCUGUUGUGAAAUCUCCCGGCUUAACCGGGAGGGUGCGGCGGAAACUGGAGUGCUUGAGGGUGGGAGAGGUAAGCGGAAUUCCUGGUGUAGCGGUGAAAUGCGUAGAUAUCAGGAGGAACACCUGUGGUGUAGACAGCUUACUGGGCCACUUCUGACGCUGAGACACGAAAGCGUGGGUAGCAAACAGG